CGNAAAUCAAGAUGGCGGAUGGCAGCAUCCGGAUGAUGAGCGAAGGUUUAAUGGUUGUAAUUUCUUGAUAGAACUAAUCAGAAUAUGGCUGCUCUUCCAACACAAACAUUAUAAACUUAAUUAAGCUACAACUUCCCCUAUCAUGCUGAUAUGGCCUUAACUGAAGAAAGCACAUUUCGAAUUCUAGCCCUUUGUGACUAUGACCCCAUACAUGGUGGAGGACCUAAGAUAGAAGAAGCACUGUUAGAGGCACCCAAGACAGCAUUUCAGUUGUCAUUUCGUCAAGGCCAGAUUUUUGAAGUUGUUGGGAGUGAUGCAAGUUGGUGGUUGUACGUUAAAGGGAUAAGUGGUCAAGAUGAGGGUUAUGUACCAAGUGCUUGCUUUGCACCAAUUAGGAAAGACCUUACAACAGACGAGAUUAAAGAAAUAACAGGGACAGUGUUAUCAUGUCAUAUCAACUUAGAUGCCAACCUUUACUACUUUCCAAAUGCACCAAACCCUAAACAUCCUGGCACUAAAAGAUGUCCUGAAGAGACUGCAAAUUUCCUCUCUAAAGCAAUCUAUUGGUGGAUAAAUCCUUUGAUAAUCAAGGGAUACAAGAAGCCUUUGGAAGCACAAGACUUGUGGUCNUUGAAACAUCAAGACCAAUCCUACAGGAUAGUACCAAGAGUACAGAAAGAAUGGAAGAAAGAAAAAGUGAAAAGUCAAAGGACAAAAAAGCUUAAUGUUCCUGCAGACACAGAAAAGAUUCAGCUUAACUUAGGGCAUGAUGAUGCUAAUCCGCCUCAUGAAGCACACCAUGGUAAAAAGCCUUCAUUAUCCAAGGCACUCAUUGGUGUUUUCUUUCCUUACUUUGCUUGGGGUGUAUUAUUUAAACUCCUCAGCAACAUCUUGAUGUUUGCACAGCCGCAAUUUUUAAAGUUACUGAUAGAGUAUACCACUGACAAGUCCAGUCCAGAAUGGAAGGGAUAUGUAAUUGUGGUUGCCAUGGUGAUAACAGCAAUCUUUGAAUGCACAUUUUCCCAGCAUGCCAUUAAUGUGUCAUUUGUUACUGGAAUGAGAGUAGGCACAUCACUGAUGGGUCUUGUUUACUCAAAGACUUUGCAGCUGAGUAAUUUCUCAAGAAGCAAGUCCACAGCUGGAGAAAUCUUGUCCUUGAUGUCAGUCGAUACUCAAAGAAUAGUAACUCUUUGUAACUCACUUCACAGAGUAUGGUCCACUCCUCUUGAAGUUUGUGUUGCUAUCUAUUUUCUGUACGUUGCCAUGGGUGUAUCAACUCUAGCUGGUGUUGCCGUGAUGUUAUUGCUUAUUCCUUUGAACAUUGUUAUCAGUCGUGUUGCUCGUCAGCUUCAGAUUAAACAGCUAGGUCAGCAAGAUAACCGAGUCAAAACAAUCAGUGAAAUGUUGAGUGGAAUUAAAGUAUUAAAGCUGUUUGCCUGGGAAGAAUCAUUCAUAAAUAAAGUCCUAAGAUUUCGUAUCAAGGAGAUAUCAUACAUGAUGCGCAGCAUGUACUUGACUGUCACUCUAUUUUUCUUCAACUUCUGUACUCCAAUGUUGGUUUCCAUGGCAACGUUCUUUGUUUACACCCUAACAGGCAAUGAACUGACAGCAACCAAGGCAUUUGUUGCCAUUUCAUUGUUUAACAUCCUCCGCUUUCCUUUAUCAAUAUUUCCAAGAAUCAUUGCUAAUCUCAUUCAGGCACAAGUNUCUUUGUCUCGGCUGUCAGAUUUUCUUAAUUUAGAAGACAAGGAUAAACAAAAUGUCCUUCAUGAAAUGCCACAAAAUAUCAGUACACAAGCUCUUCAUAUAGACAAUGGAUCCUUUUCUUGGACUAAACAAGGAGAACCAGUUUUAGAAAACAUUAAUAUGAAUAUACCAAAUGGAUCUCUGGUNGCAGUGGUUGGUCAAGUAGGAUGUGGAAAGUCUUCACUUUUAGCAGCUCUUCUNGGGGAAACUGAAAAACUUGAUGGAUCUGUGUAUGUCAAGGGAACUACAGCAUAUGUACCCCAGCAAGCUUGGAUUCAGAAUGCUACUUUACAAGAAAACAUCUUGUUUGGCAAGAGUCUUGACAACAGACGUUACAAAGAUGUGAUACGUGCAUGUGCUCUUCUACCUGACCUCAAAAUCCUUCCCUCAGGGGAUUUGACAGAGAUCGGUGAAAAGGGAAUCAAUCUAAGUGGAGGUCAGAAGCAGCGUGUGAGUCUUGCCAGAGCAGUGUACUUUAAUACCGAUAUCUACCUACUGGAUGAUCCCCUCAGUGCAGUUGACUCACAUGUAGGCAAACAUCUAUUUGAUAAAGUGAUAGGACCCAGGGGACUUUUGCAGUUGAAGACACGCAUUCUUGUCACACACAGUCUUCAGUUUUUACCACAGUGUGAUCAAAUCAUUGUUUUACAGCAUGGAAAAAUCUCUGAGGUUGGUACAUAUUCAGAGUUGAUAUCUAAUCAAGGAGCCUUUGCUGAGUUUGUAAAUACACAUAAAACAGAUAACAGCUGCUUACAGAAGGAACAACAGAAACCUUCAAAACAAGACAAGAUUGCAGAACCUGCCAUCCCAAUUAUAAAGGAAACUCCGAGCUCUGAGUUUAAAGAUGUAAGCCUAACAACCCGAAAAGUGACAAGCUGUCAUCAUUUAAGCAGGCCUGAAGAUUCUGGGGAACAUUUGAUGCUCNGCAGCAACAAAGCAAAGAGUGAAGCUAAUAUUGAAUAUGCAGAACAUUUACCACAUCGCCCUCAUAGUCCUUUGCCUAAACAACUAAGCAAUGAUAUAGAUGACAUUGUAUCAUGUCCUGGUGAUUUGGACAUGGCUUCUAAUCCAUGUAACCUAGAAGAAGAAUCAGCUGAGGACAUCAAAAAACCUCGCAAACUAGCUUCACUAAAAGAUGAGGGAGAUGACGAUGAAGAUGAAGAUGGCACAGAAGCAAAAGAUACAUCUAAAUUGACCAGAAGUAAAUCAGAAUCUUGUGAUGAACAAGGCAGAAUUACGACCACAGAGAAGUCUCAAAUUGGAAGGGUAAAAUACUCUGUCUUCAAAGCAUACUCCAAGUCUUUGGGCAUCUUGCUUUUUGCAGUGAUAAUCUUUGCUCUGUUGCUUGCUGAAGCCUUUCUUGUUGCNUCAAGAAUCUGGUUGGCUGAGUGGAGCUCAACUAAUGUCACUUCCACUCAACAGCGAAAUACCUUCAUUGGUGUCUAUGGUGGACUUGGAAUGGGGCAGGCUNUAUUUGUAUUAUUAGGCAGUUUACUGCUGGUUUGUGGAACUGCCAGGGCCUCAAGAAGACUUCAUAAUAACCUUCUCACUAAUGUCCUCCAUGCUCCAAUGUCAUUCUUUGAGACCACACCAACUGGANGAAUCUUGAAUCGAUUCUCUAGAGACAUGGCUAUGAUUGAUGACGGCAUUCCCAAAUCAUUUCUUCUGUUUGCACGGAUGUUCCUUUCUGCUAUUGGGACUAUGGUCGUGAUCAGCUAUGCCACUCCCGUUUUUAUUGCNUGUGCAAUACCAAUUACUAUACUUUAUAUUUUCAUCCAGAGAGCAUACAUAGCAACGUCACGUCAGCUGAAGAGGAUUGAAUCAGUGAGNCGUUCACCAGUUUAUAGUCACUUCUAUGAAACCAUCACAGGAACCACGGUAAUCCGUGCAUUUGCACAGCAAAAACGAUUUGUUCUGGACAACUAUUACAAAGUAGAUGCCACUCAAAUUGCUAAUUAUCCUGCUAUUUGUACAAACAGAUGGCUGGGUUUAAGGCUUGAAUUCAUUGGUGCUUCCAUUCUAUUGUUUGCUACUAUAUUUGCUGUCAUCUACCGUGACUCUUUGCCACCUGGUACUGUUGGAUUGUCAGUCACAUAUGCAUUACAGAUAACAGGUGUGUUGACAUGGCUGGUGCGUCAAUCAAGUGAACUUGAAACAAACACUGUAGCUGUUGAAAGAGUCAAAGAAUAUACAGAAGUACCUACUGAGGCUGAUUGGAUAAUCCAAGGCUAUCGUCCUCCUGAUGAGUGGCCACAAGAAGGCAGGAUUGAUGUACAAAACCUGGGAAUUAGAUACAGGGAUGGACAACCAUCUGUGCUUAGAAAUCUCACAUUCAAAGUUGUCAGUGGUGAAAAAGUUGGAGUAGUAGGUCGUACUGGAGCUGGGAAAUCAACNCUAUCAAUGUCUCUGUUUCGUAUACUGGAGCGCAACAUGGGCAAGAUUGUCAUUGACAAUAUAGACAUUGCAAAGAUUGGUUUACAUGACUUGAGAUCAAGACUUACCAUCAUUCCACAGGAUCCUGUCUUGUUUUCUGGCUCUAUUCGUAUGAAUCUUGACCCUUUUGAUCAGUAUGACGAUGAAGAGCUUUGGCGUGUGUUAGAAGUUGUCCAUCUCAAAUCAUUCAUCUCUGGUCUACAAGAUGGCCUUCUACAUUUUGUCCUUGAAGGUGGUGAGAACCUCAGUGUUGGUCAAUGUCAACUCCUAUGCCUUGCAAGAGCCUUACUGCGCCAAAACAAGAUUCUUAUACUAGANGAGGCAACAGCUGCUAUUGACCUUGAAACAGAUGAACUNAUCCAACAGACAGUGNGGACAGAGUUUGCAGACAGAACUGUACUUACUAUUGCACACNGACUGAAAACAAUCAUGGACUAUAACAGGAUUAUGGUCCUUGAUCAAGGUACAUUAGUAGAGUUUGACACACCAUCAGCAUUGAUUGCUAAAAAAGGAGUCUUCUAUCAGAUGGCUAGAGAUGCAGGACUAUCUUCAUAAUUACCUAAUUACGCAACAAUAGGAAGUUUUUUUAAAAUAUUUACCUAUUAAACUACCAUAAUAUUACCAUUUUAGGUAACUUGAUAAAAAUUAAAUAUACACACAAAUUAGGAAAAAAAGCAUACAAAGCAGUCUAUUCUUUGGAUUAAGCUCAUGUAAGAUACAUUAGUAUGCUGUUUGACUGUGAACAAUCAAGCUAUUUUUAUAGUACCAGCUACACACAAGUCAUGGAUUGAUCUGUUGAACUGAAUUAUUUGGGCUGGUCCAAAUAUGACUUUUAGUGCAAUGCAAUUACCUGUAAGAACAAUAUAUAACCCUGGCCUGGCCGCUCAUAUCAGUUUUCAAAAUACUUUUUAAAAGAUUUUUAUACAAUCAUUUUUAACAUGCCCA
rnacentral:misc_RNA from 1 species